UUUUUUUUUUUAAGUAUUUUCAGAAUCUACCAGGGGCCUUUGAAAAGUGUUCAGCGUGCUGCAAGUGGCCCCGGGGCCACACUUGUGGACAGCCCUGCAUUGAAGGAACACAGCCUCCUCUUCUGGAUGAAAGCGAAAGUGAAAGUGAAAGUGAAAGUGCUCUCAUAACAGGAGCAGGAAGAGAGGAGCGUUUGAUGACAACACCAGCAGCCAGCAGCCGGGUGGCUUCCGUCUCCCUGGUGACGUGCGGAGAGGAGCAGGAAGUCCCCACCGAGAUGAAAACGGAAGAUGAUCUUUUAAUGCUGCAGGUGUGAGGAGAAGGACUCCAACCAUUCUGUAGCCUUCCCAUUCCUGGUGCCAGUCUGGAUGAGGUGCUAGCUGACCCGGGGUGGAACCUCUUCCAGCUGUGGACGUCUCUAGCUGAGCCUGGAAGAAGAUCCUCCAGAGACUAUCUACCGGCUUCCUGAUGGACUGGACUCCCUCGAUAUCUAUUCAUGUAGCAAUUCAAUAACCGUUCAAAUUGUCAAAUACGAUCUGAGUAUUUUAUUUUGAAAGUUAACCGGAUACUUGAUUCAGUUUUUGUGCAUAACUUCCUGUCCAACACUGGUUAGGUUUUAGCUAAAUUGAAGGGUUUUGUUGCAUCGUCCGGCAAAAACGGAAGCUCUGCGUAUAUCCAUCCAUCCAUUUCUACCGCUUGUCCCUUUUGGGAGGUGCUGGAGCCUAUCCCAGCUGCGUAUUUUAGCGCUGAAAUGCGGAACGCUAACGACACGUCGGUGACGUUCCGCAUGCGGUGGAAACGGACAAAUUGAUUUGAAUACAAAACGGAAAGAGUCCGCUGGCGCGUGUGAGGUCUACACAGUGCUCUUUGGUUUAGACUGAGCCUUCAACUGGAAGUAGAAGCGCCGUUCCGUCUUCUAGCCGUCCAUAGCGUUUCUACUCAUAUGGACUCUUCGUUCAUCGCUCCAAGCAACGUUUGUAAGUUUUACAAUACAACUAAAACAAUUCUUACUCACAAAACCGUCCCAUGUGUGAUGUCUGUAGGUGUGUUUUCGUGCACAUUUGUACAUUUGACGUGUUAGCUAAUAUGCUAACACGUCAGCAAGUGUCUGUGUUAGCAUUAUCAACUUACAAUGGCGUUAUUUUUGUAUUGUUUUAGUUUCACAAAUUCCUCAGUAAAUUCACGCAGCUAGCGGGUCCAUGACAGUGACUUCUGUUUUGUUUGAUCAGCCGUUUUACUGCCCUGUCAUAGACACCGUUUGGACACAAUUAAGGUAUGUAAUUAAAUAUUUAUAUGUAAGCGCCUCAUAUAUGGAAACAUUUUUUGUUUUUUCUAACACUUAGUGGGUGUGGCUUAUACACAGGUGCGCUCUGAAUGACUGAAGGUAAUUGAAUCGACAAAAUAUUCAAGCAUGUUGGUGUGUUUGUGUUUGAAAAAUAAGUUAAAAUUUUCCGGUCUGGUUUUUGACUUCCUUGGUAAGUAAAAAAGUGUUUCACGACUCAUUAAGUUUUAAUAUUGAAAUAAUGACUUUGUUUCUCCUAAAAGUGCUAACUCCUCUCCUCUCAUCCCCCUGCAGAAAAAAAUAAAUGAAAUGUUGUAAUUGUGGAGGCCACAAGUGAGCUGUUGUUAUGGCAAGUAGUGCAGAGUAGUUUGGUCAAGUUGGUCGAGAAAUCCUGCAAAAAUAUUACUGACAAAAUAA